rnacentral:rRNA from 1 species
UAGGGAAUCUUCCGCAAUGGGCGAAAGCCUGACGGAGCAACGCCGCGUGAGUGAUGAAGGUCUUCGGAUCGUAAAACUCUGUUAUUAGGGAAGAACAAAUGUGUAAGUAACUAUGCACGUCUUUACGGUACCUAAUCAGAAAGCCACGGCUAACUACGUGCCAGCAGCCGCGGUAAUACGUAGGUGGCAAGCGUUCUCCGGAAUUAUUGGGCGUAAAGCGCGCGUAGGCGGUUUUUUAAGUCUGAUGUAAAAGCCCACGGCUCAACCGUGGAGGGUCAUUGGAAACUGGAAAACUUGAGUGCGGAAGAGGGAAGUGGAAUUCCAUGUGUAGGGGGGAAAUGCGCAGAGAUAUGGAGGAACACCAGUGGCGAAGGCGACUUUAUGGUCUGUAACUGACGCUGAUGUGCGAAAGCGGGGGGAUCAAACAGG